AACGAACGCAGGCGGCAGGCUUAACACAUGCAAGUCGAGCGCCGUAGCAAUACGGAGCGGCAGACGGGUGAGUAACGCGUGGGAAUCUACCCAUCACUACGGAACAACUCCGGGAAACUGGAGCUAAUACCGUAUACGUCCUUCGGGAGAAAGAUUUAUCGGUGAUGGAUGAGCCCGCGUUGGAUUAGCUAGUUGGUGGGGUAAUGGCCCACCAAGGCGACGAUCCAUAGCUGGUCUGAGAGGAUGAUCAGCCACACUGGGACUGAGACACGGCCCAGACUCCUACGGGAGGCAGCAGUGGGGAAUAUUGGACAAUGGGCGCAAGCCUGAUCCAGCCAUGCCGCGUGAGUGAUGAAGGCCCUAGGGUUGUAAAGCUCUUUCACCGGUGAAGAUAAUGACGGUAACCGGAGAAGAAGCCCCGGCUAACUUCGUGCCAGCCGCCGCAGUAA
rnacentral:rRNA from 1 species